GUAGGUGAACCUGCGGAAGGAUCAUUAACACGUGCCUUAACACACGUAUUAACAAACCCACUGAGAAAUAGUUAUAUUAUCCUAGUUUCAGAUGCAGGCAGACUUUGUGAGGAAAUGCUAUUGGUCGCGCUUCCUAACGGUAUGAGUCUACACCAAGACUCACAAAGUCGUUCUAUGGUCCGCCCAGGAGUUUGCACUGAGUGACUAGUUGAUAAGUAAUACCUCGCUUAUUAAGCCUGUAGCAUAGCUU
rnacentral:misc_RNA from 1 species